rnacentral:rRNA from 1 species
AGAGUUUGAUCAUGGCUCAGAUUGAACGCUGGCGGCAUGCCUUACACAUGCAAGUCGGACGGCAGCGCGGGAGCAAUCCUGGCGGCGAGUGGCGAACGGGUGAGUAAUACAUCGGAACGUGUCCUGGAGUGGGGGAUAGCCCGGCGAAAGCCGGAUUAAUACCGCAUACGCUCGGGAGAGGAAAGCGGGGGACCUUCGGG